GUGAGGAAUAUUGGUCAAUGGGCGGGAGCCUGAACCAGCCAAGUCGCGUGAAGGAAGAAGGAUCUAUGGUUCGUAAACUUCUUUUGCAGGGGAAUAAAGUGCAGGACGUGUCCUGUUUUGUAUGUACCCUGAGAAUAAGGAUCGGCUAACUCCGUGCCAGCAGCCGCGGUAAUACGGAGGAUCCGAGCGUUAUCCGGAUUUAUUGGGUUUAAAGGGUGCGUAGGUGGUUUGAUAAGUCAGCGGUGAAAGUUUGCAGCUUAACUGUAAAAAUGCCGUUGAAACUGUCGGACUUGAGUGUAAAUGAGGUAGGCGGAAUGUGUGGUGUAGCGGUGAAAUGCAUAGAUAUCACGCAGAACUCCGAUUGCGAAGGCAGCUUACUAAGCUACAACUGACACUGAAGCACGAAAGCGUGGGGAUCAAACAGGAUUAGAUACCCUGGUAGUCC
rnacentral:rRNA from 1 species